rnacentral:lncRNA from 1 species
CAGAGCCGGAAGCGGGAGGGGAGCGUCAAACAGGAAAAGAAGGGAAGAAGGAAGAAGAGGGUAGAGGAGGAGAGGGAGGUGGCGGCGCCGUGGCGGAGGAGCAGGAGCAGGAGGGGGAUGGAGAGGAGAAGGCUCCUGGGUGGCAUGGCGCUCCUGCUCCUCCAGGCGCUGCCCAGCCCCCUGUCAGCCAGGGCUGAACCCCCGCAGGAUAAGGAAGCCUGUGUGGGUACCAACAAUCAAAGCUACAUCUGUGACACAGGACACUGCUGUGGACAGUCUCAGUGCUGCAACUACUACUAUGAACUCUGGUGUAAGUCCUUGCUCGGGUGCCUCUCAGUGUCCCAGGGUCCCAGUUACUGCCUCUGCUUAGUGGGAAACUCUGGGCAUUAGCCCUUUUCGGAUUCUCUUGGGGACAGUGUUGGUGAGUGGAAUCUGUUUAUGGGUUCCAGAAGUGCUUCCUUUGUAGAGGAAGAGAGUUCUGGUGCUCUUUGGACUUUGUUAGCUGAAGACU